rnacentral:rRNA from 1 species
CCUACGGGAGGCAGCAGUGAGGAAUAUUGGUCAAUGGGCUUACGCCUGAACCAGCCAAGUCGCGUGAGGGAAGACUGCCCUAUGGGUUGUAAACCUCUUUUGUCAGGGAGCAAUUGAGUCCACGGGUGGUCUUAGCGAGAGUACCUGAAGAAAAAGCAUCGGCUAACUCCGUGCCAGCAGCCGCGGUAAUACGGAGGAUGCGAGCGUUAUCCGGAUUUAUUGGGGUUAAAGGGUGCGUAGGCGGAAUAUCAAGUCAGCGGUAAAAAUUCGGGGCUCAACCCCGUCGUGCCGUUGAAACUGAUGUUCUUGAGUGGGCGAGAAGUAUGCGGAAUGCGUGGUGUAGCGGUGAAAUGCAUAGAUAUCACGCAGAACUCCGAUUGCGAAGGCAGCAUACCGGCGCCCAACUGACGCUGAAGCACGAAAGCGUGGGUAUCGAACAGGAUUAGAUACCCUUGUAGUC